UAAAGUGGAUUGCAACCUCCUCAUUGAUCCCUGCUAGAACACCAAACCUCAAACAAAAUUGUCCCAUUAACAAUAUGAGAUUGAGGGUGCAUCUAGGAGAAGCAUCAAUGGAUUCUGGAACCACAUCGUAACUUCGAUGCGGUAGUAGGAGAUAUAACGAUUUGAGCAAAUAAGUCUCUAUAUAUGGACUGCCAUAUACAGAUUCUAGUAUAGUAAUGGUUGUGCCAAUUACAGACAUCAAGAAAAGAAAUGCAUGGUUGUGCCAAUUACAGACCUCUUGUUUCUUCAUCUUUAUUGGUUUUGUCAUUUGGGUUCUUGACAUCAAAUUAAUGAAAACUUCCGUGGGAUUCCCUCCCAUCAAGUUGGCACUAGCCUCUGGUUCUCAUUCUCAACAAUGGUUUUUGCACACAAUAAUCAUCUGGUGAAAGAGUUAUCAGUAACUUGUCAAGAUUUGUGAUGAUAUUAUAUGGGUAUUUGUUAUGUUAAUACUGGCAAAAAGAUGCACUGCGAAUUUGGCAUCAGUAUUAACGGUCCAACAAUUACAACGAACUGUUACCAGUACGAAGGGACAUUUUAAGGAACGGGGGGAGUGUUGGCUACGCAACAGAUGCUUAUCUAUAUGGUAUCUUGAAACAGUUAGGUUUUGACGAUUCCAAGUUUAAGGGCUUCAGCACUAAGGAAGGGUUUGAUGAAGCUCUUUCCAGAGGAAGUAAAAAUGGUGGAAUUGCUGCCAUCGUUGAUGAAAAGCACUACGAUGACGAUUUUUCUUGAAAAAUAUUGUUCUAAAUAUACCAUGAUAGCGCCCAUCUGCAAAACGGUUGGGUUUGGAUUCGUAAGACUUCCCUAAUUAUUUUUAACAAUUUUCAUACCAAACACUAUAAUUCACAUGUAAAAAUGCUAAAAUAUAUAACAGGGAGUGGAAAUUAAUGUCAAAAAUACUAAAACGUGUGAAAAUUUCCUCACUAUAUGCUGUUUAUUAAUUUCUGAGAUGACUUCACAGGUAUUUCCAAAACGUUCCCCUCUUCUCCAUGAUAUUUCCCAAGCGGUACUAAAUGUGACUGAGAUAGAGAAUAUACUAGAGUUCGAAAAUAAACUAUACAAGAAGGGAAGCAAAUGCCAAAAAUUGAGUACACCAAAAGUUUCUGGCAGCAGUCUUGGCCUUGACAGCUUUUGGGGCCUAUUCCUCGUAGUCGGAUUGGCUUCGGUGCUCGCUCUCAUCAUCCUUGUAGCUUCAUUCAUAUACAAGCAUCAGCACGUCUUGAUCCACCCUGCUUCAAGAGUAUCUACAUGCGAAAAGAUUCUGGCUGCCCUCAAACUUUUCAAUGAAAAAGACCUCAACUCUCGUAAUUUCAGAAGCCAUUACCAACAUCGACAUGCAGUACGUUACAGCUUCACCGAACUGCGUAGAUUUGCCUUCUGUAUCUUUCGAAGAGCCGCAAACACCAUCAACUGAUCAAGCUUCUCCACAACUAGCUCUUACAGCUACUGAUCGAGAUUGAUAUUACAGUUUAAGAAAUGAAAAGAGCUAUUUUGUAUACUCGAGAGUAAGCUUAAUUAAAAUAAAGAUCCAAUGCACUUGUGCAGGGUAUGAACUGUGGCUCCUCAUUUUUUUUUUGGCGGGG